GGGGGUAUAGUAUAGUGGUAAUACAAAAGGCUCCAGACCUUUAAAUCAGGGUUCGAUUCCCUGUACCCCCA
rnacentral:tRNA from 1 species